rnacentral:rRNA from 1 species
CGUACCCUACGGGGCGCAGCAGUAAGGAAUAUUGGUCAAUGGUCGGGAGACUGAACCAGCCAAGCCGCGUGAGGGAUGAAGGUACAGAGUAUCGUAAACCUCUUUUGUCAGGGAACAAAGGCGGGGACGCGUCCCCGGAUGAGUGUACCUGAAGAAAAAGCAUCGGCUAACUCCGUGCCAGCAGCCGCGGUAAUACGGAGGAUGCGAGCGUUAUCCGGAUUUAUUGGGUUUAAAGGGUGCGCAGGCGGUUUGUUAAGUCAGCGGUCAAAACCCGGGGCUCAACCCCGGCCCG